AACGCGAAGAACCUUACCAGGGCUUGACAUGCAAUUGCACCACCCGUCAUGGGGUGUCCCGCAAGGGCGGUUGCACAGGUGCUGCAUGGCUGUCGUCAGCUCGUGUCGUGAGAUGUUGGGUUCAGUCCCGCAACGAGCGCAACCCCUGUUGCUAGUUGAACAAUCUAGCAGGACUGCCGCGAUCAACGCGGAGGAAGGAGGGGAUGACGUCAAGUCAGCACGGCCCUUACGUCCUGGGCUACACACACGCUACAAUGGUCGGUACAACGGGCAGCCAACCCGCGAGGGGGAGCCAAUCCUAUCAAAACCGGCCUCAGUUCAGAUUGCAGGCUGCAACUCGCCUGCAUGAAGGAGGAGUUGCUAGUAACCGUGGGUCAGCACACCACGGUGAAUACGUUCCCGGGCCUUGUACACACCGAGACGUA
rnacentral:rRNA from 1 species